rnacentral:rRNA from 1 species
GGGAUUGCCCCAGUAACGGCGAGUGAAGCGGCAAGAGCUCAAAUUUGAAAUCUGGCCUCCCUUGGGGGGUCCGAGUUGUAAUUUGUAGAGGAUGCUUCGGGUGUGGCCGCCGUCUAAGUUCCUUGGAACAGGACGUCGUAGAGGGUGAGAAUCCCGUCUUGGGCGGCCGGUCCGCGCCCGUGUGAAGCUCCUUCGACGAGUCGAGUUGUUUGGGAAUGCAGCUCUAAGCGGGUGGUAAAUUUCAUCUAAAGCUAAAUACUGGCCGGAGACCGAUAGCGCACAAGUAGAGUGAUCGAAAGGUUAAAAGCACCUUGAAAAGGGAGUUAAACAGCACGUGAAAUUGUUGAAAGGGAAGCGCUUGCGGCCAGACUCGAGGGGCGGGGUUCAGCGGGUGCGCGUCACCCGUGCACUCCCCGUCCCCCCGGGCCAGCAUCAGUUUCGACGGCCGGUCAAAGGCCCCCGGAAUGUGUCGUCUCUAGGGACGUCUUAUAGCCGGGGGUGCAAUGCGGCCCGCCGGGACUGAGGAACGCGCUCCGGCUCGGAUGCUGGCGUAAUGGCCGUAAGCGGCCCGUCUUGAAACACGGACCAAGGAGUCUAACAUCCACGCGAGUGUUCGGGUGUCAAACCCGUGCGCGCAGUGAAAGCGAACGGAGGUGGGAGCCCUAGGGCGCACCAUCGACCGAUCCUGAAGUCUUCGGAUGGAUUUGAGUAGGAGCGUGGCCGUUGGGACCCGAAAGAUGGUGAACUAUGCCUGAAUAGGGUGAAGCCAGAGGAAACUCUGGUGGAGGCUCGCAGCGGUUCUGACGUGCAAAUCGAUCGUCAAAUUUGGGCAUAGGGGCGAAAGACUAAUCGAACCAUCUAGUAGCUGGUUCCUGCCAAUUU